rnacentral:rRNA from 1 species
UACGUAGGGUGCAAGCGUUAAUCGGAAUUACUGGGCGUAAAGCGUGCGCAGGCGGUUGUGCAAGACAGAUGUGAAAUCCCCGGGCUCAACCUGGGAACUGCAUUUGUGACUGCACGGCUAGAGUGUGUCAGAGGGGGGUAGAAUUCCACGUGUAGCAGUGAAAUGCGUAGAGAUGUGGAGGAAUACCGAUGGCGAAGGCAGCCUCCUGGGCCAACACUGACGCUCAUGCACGAAAGCGUGGGGAGCGAACAGG